rnacentral:misc_RNA from 1 species
GCACUUUUGGAUCUACGGGGGCGAGAGCAGGCGAACGUGCCCUCGGCACUGGCGUAAGGAGGAAGAAACCGAAGGCGACCAAGGCACAUGCAAGGCGACACACGCGCACACACACACGCGCCAAACGCGGCAGCAGCAAAGGAGAGGGAGAAGAAGGUUAUGUGGCGACCACGACGAGCGCAGGGCGUCGGAAGCGGGGAGGAUAUCCACCACCUGGUCAGCGCUGUACGUCGCCAGCGUAUUCGCUCUUUGCCUUCAUGCUUCGCAGUCGCAACGGAAAUUGCCUGCCGCUGCUGCAGCUACUCGAUCGAGUCCUUUCAAACCGACAGCACCGAGGCGAAGAAUCCUUCUCGUGUUGUGGAUACCGCCCCGACAGAGAUGCACGAGUGGCCAAGUGCGCUCGCCCCUCCCUCUCCAAUUCCAGCGACGGAGAAAGCGGGCAUCAUUGCGGAGUGGGUGCCGGACGCCUUGGGCUACCAUCUACCGCUUGGUUUGCGAGAGCGUUGGGAGCCUUCGUCCAGAGCCAGUCCAACUGAAGCGGGUGGCUUGAAGGCUUCUAACGAUGCUGAGACCCACAGCACAGAGCAGCAAGAGCUUGAGGAGGUGUCAAGCGCUGGAGACCCGUGCGCGAGCAGCCGAGUCGGCGGCAGCGGCAGCGGCCAUCGCAGUGUUCACUCCGACGGCCCCCCAUUCUGCGGUCCUCUGCCCAACUUCGCUACGUCACCGGUGUUCGAAUGGAAGCGGUGUCUGUGGCAGUGGCGUCCGGUGAAGAUCACGUCUGCAGCAGGCACGCCACACCAUACGAGCCUCACCGUCACCGUACCGAUGUCAUCCAGUGGAGAGAAACGAUCUUUGCAGGACGAGACGCACUGCAGCGACGGCGACAAAAACGACCUCGCUGAAGGAGGGCUAGGCGAAAGCUCGCAAGUCUACCAUCUUGUGCCGUUUUUACUCUGUCCGACGCUCGAGGUGUGCGCCACUCAGCCCCUCAUGCAUGAUAGCCUGCGAGAGGAACUUGCGGCAGCCCAAAGCGCUUGCCAUCAUCGGCGCCGGUGUUGGUCAGAGGACGCGAAGCAGGACCGCCUUGGCACUCGCCACUGCCCAGCAUACUCUGAGCGCGAGACUCGACUGUGGUCGAUCACCAUGCCUACUCCCGUUGGUGAGCUCGCUCUCUCCUCCCCGAAGGACGCUGACGGUGAUGACGCGAUCAAGCAGAGCACCAUGCUUGAGCUGCCGACCUUCGCGAUGAUUGAAGGCGAGCCCCCAAUGAGGGUAGGAGGGCGUAUCAGAGCUUGCUGGGGCCAUGGAACCACCCGCCCAGCGCCGCCGGAAGCGGAGACAUGGGAAGCCGCCACGGAAGCCGCGUGGGGUGAGCAAAGCGCCUCAGCCGGCAAUGCCGCCGUCCCCUACGUCCACGUCUUCUGCUCUGAGAUGAGCGCUGCGUGCAGCGAAUCCCUUCUGUCGCAGACAAGCAUCAAGGCGUCAGAGUCGCACACGCCCUCCUCAUGCGACGUGUUGAGUCCGACGCUACCCCUCACGCGUCGCAAUGUUGUGGGUGGGGGACUUGCGGAGCUCAUUCUCGCCGUGGACCGUUACGCUGCCUUGAUCGCACGCGGUGAGUUGGCGCUGUCCGCCGCCUGCUGGGCGACGCUCUGUGACACGAAGAACUGGUGGGUCGUGCAGCGCCUGCGCGUGUGCCCGCUGGAGAUGGAGCGUGAGCUGGUCGCGGCCACUGAGGCACACAAACUCUGGCAGCAAUACGCCGUUUCACGCAACAGCACCUUGGUGGGGAAGAGCAGCCACGGCAUUUGCUUUUACGACUACCCUUUCUUGGCGAAGUGGCCACUUGGCCGACAAGAGACGAUCAAAGCCACUGCGCCCAUCAGAGCUCACACUCGCUGGCGUGUUUGAGGGAGCGGGUUGGGGAGGGGGAGGUCGAAAGAGGCGUUUGUGUGCGCAUCGUAGGGGAAGCGAACGUGCAAACGCCUUGUCAGAAUCGGGCGUGAGCGCGUACGCAUACGUAGUCUUAGCCGUAGGGGAGUAGAGUACGCUCUCACCGAGACGUCUUCCUGCACGCCUCCCCUUUUUUCCAUCACCCAGCACCACCGCUAUCCCUUCCCUUCUCCGUGCCGCUGGUGAGAGAGAGAAACUCUAUGUCUCCUCCCUUCUCUCGGCUCAGUCCGAUGGCAUCUCUUCUUCUGUGGUCCGCCGAGUGGAUGUGUGGGCGCGUGCGCGUCUCACGCGCCCACACUCUCUUCCUCCUUUUGUGAUUGCAUGUGUUUUUGUUUGUCGUUUACUUUGUUCACAUCUGCUACGCGUGCCGCCACCUCACAAGACGCCAUCUGGCUUCUUUGUCGUCUUCUGCUUCUCUGCCCAGUUUGUGUGUGUGUGCUAUCUGUCUCUCCUCCUGCUUCACGCAAGGCGAGGUGCAGACCGAUCACACGCACGCACACGCCAAACCAUUUCCAUCGUCUCUCUCCCUCCCUCUACGGCUGUGAUUUUCUUCCUCCUUUUUUUUCCUCCAGGGGCUUAGCAGUGGUUUGAAUAGUGAUGGUGAUUGCAUCUGCCCUCGGGCACCUCCCGCAUGGUGCGCGUGUACGUCUGUGUGUGGAUCUGUCUCCGAAGCCAACCACCCCUAUGGAUGGGGUGCUGUUCGUCAAGAUGAGGAAGAGACUUUCCUGCUGCGCUUCUUCAGCCCCCGCCCCGCCCCAGGCAAACAG